rnacentral:misc_RNA from 1 species
CUGGGAUAGAAGCGGCAGGAGCAGCGUUGGCACCGGCGAACCAUGGCUGGGAUUUUCUAUUUCAUCCUCUUUUCGUUUCUCUUUGG